rnacentral:rRNA from 1 species
UGGUGUUCGGGUUGUCAUGCCAAUGGCACUGCCCGGUAGCUAAAUGCGGAAGAGAUAAGUGCUGAAAGCAUCUAAGCACGAAACUUGCCCCGAGAUGAGUUCUCCCUGACUCCUUGAGAGUCCUGAAGGAACGUUGAAGACGACGACGUUGAUAGGCCGGGGGUGUAAGCGCAGCGAUGCGUUGAGCUAACCGGUACUAAUGAACCGUGAGGCUUAACCUUACAACGCCGAAG